rnacentral:rRNA from 1 species
AGAACGAACGCUGGCGGCAGGCUUAACACAUGCAAGUCGAACGGUUGUAGCAAUACAGCAGUGGCAGACGGGUGAGUAACACGUGGGAACCUUCCUAGGGGUACGGAACAACUCAGGGAAACUUGAGCUAAUACCGUAUACGUCCGUGAGGAGAAAGAUUUAUCGCCCCUAGACGGGCCCGCGUAGGAUUAGGUAGUUGGUGAGGUAACGGCUCACCAAGCCUACGAUCCUUAGCUGAUCUGAGAGGAUGAUCAGCCACACUGGGACUGAGACACGGCCCAGACUCCUACGGGAGGCAGCAGUGGGGAAUCUUGGACAAUGGGCGCAAGCCUGAUCCAGCCAUGCCGCGUGAGUGAAGAAGGCCUUCGGGUGUAAGCUACUUUACGAGGGACGAUAUAGACGGUACCUAGGAGAAGUAAGCCCCGGACAAACCGUUCGUAGCCGAGCGAGCCGAC